AUAUCAAUAAGCGGAGGAAAAGAAACCAACAGGGAUUGCCUCAGUAACGGCGAGUGAAGCGGCAAGAGCUCAAAUUUGAAAGCUGGCUCCUUCGGGGUCCGCAUUGUAAUUUGCAGAGGAUGUUUCGGGAGCAGCCCCCAUCUAAGUGUCCUGGAACGGACCGUCAUAGAGGGUGAGAAUCCCGUAUGGGAUGGGGUGUCUGCGCCCAUGUGAAACUCCUUCGACGAGUCGAGUUGUUUGGGAAUGCAGCUCUAAAUGGGUGGUAAAUUUCAUCUAAAGCUAAAUAUUGGCCGGAGACCGAUAGCGCACAAGUAGAGUGAUCGAAAGAUGAAAAGCACUUUGAAAAGAGAGUUAAAAAGCACGUGAAAUUGUUGAAAGGGAAGCGCUUGCGAUCAGACUCGCCUUGGGGGUUCAGCCGGCAUUCGUGCCGGUGUACUUCCCCCAGGGCGGGCCAGCGUCGGUUUGGGUGGCCGGUCAAAGGCCCUUGGAAUGUAACGCCUCUCGGGGCGUCUUAUAGCCAAGGGUGCCAUGCGGCCUACCUGGACCGAGGAACGCGCUUCGGCUCGGACGCUGGCAUAAUGGUCGUAAGCGA
rnacentral:rRNA from 1 species